rnacentral:rRNA from 1 species
UACGAAGGGGGCUAGCGUUGUUCGGAAUUACUGGGCGUAAAGCGCGCGCAGGCGGUCUUCCAAGUCAGUGGUGAAAGCCCGGAGCUCAACUCCGGAACUGCCAUUGAAACUGUGAGACUGGAGUAACGAGAGAGGUGAGUGGAAUUCCCAGUGUAGAGGUGAAAUUCGUAGAUAUUGGGAAGAACACCGGUGGCGAAGGCGGCUCACUGGCUCGUAACUGACGCUCAGGCGCGACAGCGUGGGGAGCAAACAGG